GCUAGCUACUGGCCGGGGGCCGGGGUAAUACGGUGGGUGCUGGCGGUAUCCGGAAUUGUUGGGCGUAAAGUGGGCGUAGGCGUUUUCUUACGUCGGACGUGAAAGUCCGGGGCUUAACCCCGGAUCUGCGUUGGGGACGGGCAGACUAGAGUGCAGUAGGGGGGACUGGAAUUCCUGGUGUAGCGGUGGAAUGCGCAGAUAUCAGGAGGAACACCGAUGGCGAAGGCAGGUCUCUGGGCAGUAACUGACGCUGAGGAGCGAAAGCAUGGGGAGCGAACAGGAUUAGAUACCCUAGUAGUC
rnacentral:rRNA from 1 species